ensembl:misc_RNA
UUAACAGCUCAAGAAACCAAAGUCCUCUCUUUUUUACCAACAAAAUAAGUUCAGCAAGGGUGUGAAGAACACAAGCUUCCCCCACACUGCUCGAGCAAUGUGCCUCAACCCUGACCUGAGAGCAAAUCUCUGAGGGAAAAGGCGUUUGUUAAAUUUCUUUUCCAAUUAAUUUGACAGCUCUG